AAUCAACGCUGGCGGCGUGCCUAACACAUGCAAGUCGAACGCGAGAGGGGCUUCGGCCCCGAUUGAGUGGCGAACGGGUGAGUAACGCGUGGGUGACCUACCUUCGAGUGGGGGAUAACGUCCCGGAAAGGGACGCUAAUACCGCAUAACAUCCUGCUUUUGAAUGGGUGGAGAUCAAAGCCGGGGAUCGCAAGACCUGGCGCUUGAUGAGGGGCCCGCGUCUGAUUAGCUAGUUGGGAGGUAACGGCCCACCAAGGCAACGAUCAGUAUCCGGCCUGAGAGGGCGGACGGACACACUGGGACUGAGACACGGCCCAGACUCCUACGGGAGGCAGCAGUGGGGAAUUGUUCGCAAUGGGCGCAAGCCUGACGACGCAACGCCGCGU
rnacentral:rRNA from 1 species